GCAUGAAACGUCUGUACAGAAUAUUCCACGGAAGUCAACUUCCUGGGACUUAUUUUUGCAGAGUAAUCUGCGGAUGUCUGUGAGAUUAAUUGAGAUCGGUUACACCAUAGCCUGGACUAGGCGCGCGUAGUCCGCUCCAGUUCACAGACGGGAAAAUGGCUUCCAGAAUCUUGUUCGCUGCAUUCAUAUUGUGCAACCUGUCUCUGGCCGUGGCACAGGACGAUGCAGGACAAGCGUCCGUUGUUACCGACGGCACGAUUGAUUCACAGUGGAAUGAGGUGCAGCUUGUGAGUGAUGGAGCUAUGCAACAGAAUGUUUUUGCAUCUGCUGUAGCCACGGGCGUGGCCGCGGUUUUCGUAACGGGGCGUCUGCUGUCUACAUAGUACAGGAAACUGUUGCGGCAUAGACUGAAAGGAUAAUGCAUAUACCACUGCAUCGGACAUCAAAGCAUGACGGUGGAGUCCUACCAACGUACGGGCACCCAACUGCCACUAAAGAGAUAAUAUAACGAUACUGAAUACUUUUACCGCUCUACUUUUGUCUACAUUGUAAUUGUUUAAUAACAGUAAUUUUUGUGACUAAACUAUUGGAGACGUA